rnacentral:rRNA from 1 species
GACGAACGCUGGCGGCGUGCUUAACACAUGCAAGUCGAACGGAAAGGCCCUGCUUUUGUUGGGUUCUCGAUUGGCGAACGGGUGAGUAACACGUGAGUAACCUGCCCUUAACUUUGGGAUAACUUCAGGAAACUGGGGCUAAUACCGGAUAGGAUCUUCUGCUGCAUGGUGGGGGUUGGAAAGUUUCGGCGGUGGGGGAUGGACUCGCGGCUUAUCAGCUUGUUGGUGGGGUAGUGGCGUACCAAGGCUUUGACGGGUAGCCGGCCUGAGAGGGUGACCGGCCACAUUGGGACUGAGAUAGGGACCAGACUGCUACGGGAGGCAGUAGUGGGGAAUAUUGCACAAUGGGCGGAAGCCUGAUGCAGCAACGCCGCGUGCGGGAUGACGGGCUUCGGGUUGUAAACCGAUUUCGCAUGUGACGAAGCGUGCGUGACGGUAAUGGGUAAAGAAGCAACGGCUAACUACGUG